rnacentral:rRNA from 1 species
CUACGGGACGCUGCAGUGGGGAAUAUUGCACAAUGGGCGCAAGCCUGAUGCAGCAACGCCGCGUGAGGGAUGAAGGCCUUCGGGUUGUAAACCUCUUUUAGCAGGGAAGAAGCGAAAGUGACGGUACCUGCAGAAAAAGUACCGGCUAACUACGUGCCAGCAGCCGGGGUAAUACGUAGGGUGCAAGCGUUGUCCGGAAUUAUUGGGCGUAAAGAGCUCGUAGGCGGUUUGUCACGUCUGCUGUGAAAAUCCAAGGCUCAACCUUGGACUUGCAGUGGGUACGGGCAGGCUAGAGUGCGGUAGGGGAGAUGGGAAUUCCUGGUGUAGCGGUGGAAUGCGCAGAUAUCAGGGGGAACACCAAUGGCGAAGGCACAUCUCUGGGCCGUAACUGACGCUGAGGAGCGAAAGCGUGGGGAGCGAACAGGAUUAGAUACCCCCGUAGUC